CAGUAGCCGCGGGAAUACGGAGGGUGCAAGCGUUAAUCGGAAUUACUGGGCGUAAAGCGCACGCAGGCGGUCUGACAAGUCAGAUGUGAAAUCCCCGGGCUUAACCUGGGAACUGCAUUUGAAACUGUCAGGCUGGAGUCUUGUAGAGGGGGGUGGAAUUCCAGGUGUAGCGGUGAAAUGCGUAGAGAUCUGGAGGAAUACCGGUGGCGAAGGCGGCCCCCUGGACAAAGACUGACGCUCAGGUGCGAAAGCGUGGGGAGCAAACAGGAUUAGAUACCCGCGUAGUCCCUGUCUCUUAUAA
rnacentral:rRNA from 1 species